CCCAUAUAAAGUAAGAAGAUCAUUGUCAAUGAAAUAACUCUCCCAGAGACCAAAUGACAUGGAUGUAAGCAACUAAUGGUCACUGUAUGGCCUACAACAAUGAGCAAAACAUAUACUUUACAAUUAACUAUGAAACAGAAAGUAGGCGACAUGAAAAAAUGUGAAACAAUUCAAACAAGAAAACCAACAGCUAGAUUUAUGAUGAAACAAUGAAAUAAUAACAAAUAUGUUGGACAACAACCAACUACUUGUCAUCCCUUGUUUGCUAAAGAAGACUGGUUGUUUGUAAAUUCAUGUCAACACAUCACUUUAAAACAAAGUAAAUCAAUUUUCUAUGCAUCAUCAGUGCAAUA
rnacentral:lncRNA from 1 species